rnacentral:rRNA from 1 species
CCCUCAAAGGACCUGACUGCUAUCGGAUUGAUACUAAGCCAUGCGAGUCAUUGUAGCAAUACAAGGCAUACGGCUCCCUCACAAGUAGUCAACCUAACCUAUGGACGGGAAUAACCUCGGGAAACUGAGAAUAAUGCCCGAUAGAACAUUAUGCCUGGAAUGGUUUAUGUUCCAAAUGAUUUAUCGCCGUAGGAUGGGACUGCGGCCUAUCAGUUUGUUGGUGAGGUAAUGGCCCACCAAGACUAUUACAGGUACGGGCUCUGAGAGGAGUAGCCCGGAGAUGGGUACUGAGACACGGACCCAGGCCCUAUGGGGCGCAGCAGGCGAGAAAACUUUGCAAUGUGCGAAAGCACGACAAGGUUAAUCCGAGUGGUUUCUGCUAAAGAAACCUUUUGUCAGUCCUAGAAACACUGAUGAAUAAGGGGUGGGCAAGUUCUGGUGU